AUUGAACGCUGGCGGCAUGCCUUACACAUGCAAGUCGAACGGCAGCACGGGAGCAAUCCUGGUGGCGAGUGGCGAACGGGUGAGUAAUAUAUCGGAACGUGCCCAGUCGUGGGGGAUAACGUAGCGAAAGCUACACUAAUACCGCAUACGAUCUAUGGAUGAAAGCGGGGGAUCGCAAGACCUCGCGCGAUUGGAGCGGCCGAUAUCAGAUUAGGUAGUUGGUGGGGUAAAAGCCUACCAAGCCUUCGAUCUGUAGCUGGUCUGAGAGGACGACCAGCCACACUGGAACUGAGACACGGUCCAGACUCCUACGGGAGGCAGCAGUGGGGAAUUUUGGACAAUAGGGCGCAAGCCUGAUCCAGCAAUGCCGCGUGCAGGAUGAAGGCCUUCGGUUGUAAG
rnacentral:rRNA from 1 species